GUAGUGCUGAAGAGUCCCAAACUAGGACGAAACAGCUGUCCAGUAU
rnacentral:hammerhead_ribozyme from 1 species